UACGUAGGGUGCGAGCGUUGUCCGGAAUUACUGGGCGUUAAGAGCUCGUAGGUGGUUUGUCGCGUUGUCCGUGAAAACUCACAACUCAAUUGUGGGCGUGCGGGCGAUACGGGCAGACUGGAGUACUGCAGGGGAGACUGGAAUUCCUGGUGUAGCGGUGGAAUGCGCAGAUAUCAGGAGGAACACCGGUGGCGAAGGCGGGUCUCUGGGCAGUAACUGACGCUGAGGAGCGAAAGCGUGGGGAGCGAACAGG
rnacentral:rRNA from 1 species